AAUUGAAGAGUUUGAUCAUGGCUCAGAUUGAACGCUGGCGGCAGGCCUAACACAUGCAAGUCGAACGGUAACAGGAAGAAGCUUGCUUCUUUGCUGACGAGUGGCGGACGGGUGAGUAAUGUCUGGGAAACUGCCUGAUGGAGGGGGAUAACUACUGGAAACGGUAGCUAAUACCGCAUAACGUCGCAAGACCAAAGAGGGGGACCUUCGGGCCUCUUGCCAUCGGAUGUGCCCAGAUGGGAUUAGCUAGUAGGUGGGGUAACGGCUCACCUAGGCGACGAUCCCUAGCUGGUCUGAGAGGAUGACCAGCCACACUGGAACUGAGACACGGUCCAGACUCCUACGGGAGGCAGCAGUGGGGAAUAUUGCACAAUGGGCGCAAGCCUGAUGCAGCCAUGCCGCGUGUAUGAAGAAGGCCUUCGGGUUGUAAAGUACUUUCAGCGGGGAGGAAGGGAGUAAAGUUAAUACCUUUGCUCAUUGACGUUACCCGCAGAAGAAGCACCGGCUAACUCCGUGCCAGCAGCCACGGUAAUACGGAGGGUGCAAGCGUUAAUCGGAAUUACUGGGCGUAAAGCGCACGCAGGCGGUUUGUUAAGUCAGAUGUGAAAUCCCCGGGCUCAACCUGGGAACUGCAUCUGAUACUGGCAAGCUUGAGUCUCGUAGAGGGGGGUAGAAUUCCAGGUGUAGCGGUGAAAUGCGUAGAGAUCUGGAGGAAUACCGGUGGCGAAGGCGGCCCCCUGGACGAAGACUGACGCUCAGGUGCGAAAGCGUGGGGAGCAAACAGGAUUAGAUACCCUGGUAGUCCACGCCGUAAACGAUGUCGACUUGGAGGUUGUGCCCUUGAGGCGUGGCUUCCGGAGCUAACGCGUUAAGUCGACCGCCUGGGGAGUACGGCCGCAAGGUUAAAACUCAAAUGAAUUGACGGGGGCCCGCACAAGCGGUGGAGCAUGUGGUUUAAUUCGAUGCAACGCGAAGAACCUUACCUGGUCUUGACAUCCACGGAAGUUUUCAGAGAUGAGAAUGUGCCUUCGGGAACCGUGAGACAGGUGCUGCAUGGCUGUCGUCAGCUCGUGUUGUGAAAUGUUGGGUUAAGUCCCGCAACGAGCGCAACCCUUAUCCUUUGUUGCCAGCGGUCCGGCCGGGAACUCAAAGGAGACUGCCAGUGAUAAACUGGAGGAAGGUGGGGAUGACGUCAAGUCAUCAUGGCCCUUACGACCAGGGCUACACACGUGCUACAAUGGCGCAUACAAAGAGAAGCGACCUCGCGAGAGCAAGCGGACCUCAUAAAGUGCGUCGUAGUCCGGAUUGGAGUCUGCAACUCGACUCCAUGAAGUCGGAAUCGCUAGUAAUCGUGGAUCAGAAUGCCACGGUGAAUACGUUCCCGGGCCUUGUACACACCGCCCGUCACACCAUGGGAGUGGGUUGCAAAAGAAGUAGGUAGCUUAACCUUCGGGAGGGCGCUUACCACUUUGUGAUUCAUGACUGGGGUGAAGUCGUAACAAGGUAACCGUAGGGGAACCUGCGGUUGGAUCA
rnacentral:rRNA from 1 species